CUGACGCAGCAACGCCGCGUGAGGGAUGAAGGCCUUCGGGUUGUAAACCUCUUUCAGUUAAGAAGAAAAAAAUGACGGUAUUAACAGAAGAAGCACCGGCUAACUACGUGCCAGCAGCCGCGGUAAUACGUAGGGUGCAAGCGUUACUCGGAAUUAUUGGGCGUAAAGCGAAUGUAGGCGGUUCUGUAAGUCUGAUGUGAAAUCCCUGGACUCAAUUCAGGAAGUGCAUUGGAUACUGCAAGACUAGAGUGCAGGAGAGGUGGGCGGAAUUCCUGGUGUAGAGGUGAAAUUCGUAGAUAUCAGGAGGAACAACAGAAGCGAAGGCGGCUCACUGGACUGUAACUGACGCUGAGAUUCGAAAGUGUGGGGAGCAAACAGGAUUAGAUACCCUGGUAGUCCACACUGUAAACGAUGGAUACUAGAUGUCGGAGGUUCUUACCCCUUCGGUGUCGUAGCUAACGCGUUAAGUAUCCCGCCUGGGGACUACGGUCGCAAGAUUAAAACUCAAAGAAAUUGACGGGGGCCCGCACAAGCGGUGGAUUAUGUGGUUCAAUUCGAUGCAACGCGCAAAACCUUACCUGGGCUUGACAUCCCACGCUACCCUAUGAAAGUAGGGGUUCCCUUCGGGGACGUG
rnacentral:rRNA from 1 species